rnacentral:rRNA from 1 species
CGGGGGGGGCAAGCGUUGUUCGGAAUUACUGGGCGUAAAGGGCUCGUAGGCGGCCAACUAAGUCAGACGUGAAAUCCCCAGGCUCAACCUGGGAACUGCGUCUGAUACUGGAUGGCUUGAAUCCGGGAGAGGGAUGCAGAAUUCCAGGUGUAGCGGUGAAAUGCGUAGAUAUCUGGAGGAAUACCGGUGGCGAAGGCGGCAUCCUGGACCGGCAUUGACGCUGAGGAGCGAAAGCCAGGGGAGCAAACGGGAUUAGAUACCCCGGUAGUCCUGGCCCUAGACGAUGAAUGCUUGGUGUAACGGGCAUCGAUCCCUGUUGUACCGAAGCUAACGCAUUAAGCAUUCCGCCUGGGGAUACGGUCGCAAGGCUG